GAUGAACGCUGGCGGCGUGCCUAAUACAUGCAAGUCGAGCGAACGGACGAGAAGCUUGCUUCUCUGAUGUUAGCGGCGGACGGGUGAGUAACACGUGGAUAACCUACCUAUAAGACUGGGAUAACUUCGGGAAACCGGAGCUAAUACCGGAUAAUAUUUUGAACCGCAUGGUUCAAAAGUGAAAGACGGUCUUGCUGUCACUUAUAGAUGGAUCCGCGCUGCAUUAGCUAGUUGGUAAGGUAACGGCUUACCAAGGCAACGAUGCAUAGCCGACCUGAGAGGGUGAUCGGCCACACUGGAACUGAGACACGGUCCAGACUCCUACGGGAGGCAGCAGUAGGGAAUCUUCCGCAAAGGGCGAAAGCCUGACGGAGCAAGGCCGCGUGAGUGAUGAAGGUCUUCGGUUCGUAAAACUCUGUUAUUAGGGAAGAACAUAUGUGUAAGUAACUGUGCACAUCUUGACGGUACCUAAUCAGAAAGCCACGGCUAACUACGUG
rnacentral:rRNA from 1 species